rnacentral:lncRNA from 15 species
UUGAGGUGAACACACCUGAACCAGGUGCAGUUUAACCCUUUAAUGCAGAGCUGUGAGUCCACUUUAGCACCCCGACAGGUCCUCACAAAGACAGACAAACAACAACACACACACCUGGAGAGAGACUAAAUCUGGCACUUUAGUUUUUAGGAGUGCAGGUAGAGCUGAAGCAGGACGAUAACGUGGACCAGAACAGACGGCGACAGGUGAGCAGAUCGACAGGUAGACUUAUAGACAAGUAAACUGACAGACAGGUGAGCAGAUCGACAGGUAGACUUAUAGACAAGUAAAUUGACAGACAGGUGAGCAGAUCGACAGGUAGACCUAUAGACAGGUAAACUGACAGACAGGUGAGCAGAUCGACAGGUGUUGGUUUCAGGAGUUCCCAUCAAGAUGACUCCUCCUCCAGUUCCUGUCCCAAAGCCUCGUUCUCGUUACAUGAGGGACAGUCUGAGCUCCGCCUCUCCCUUGGACAGAGAUCUGAUCGGUGAAAGUCUGCAACCAGUUUUGUCUAAUGGAGUUCACCUGAGUACAGGUACACACACACACACACACACACAAUAUCAUCAGACAUCAAUCAAUCAUAUUGAUCUGUUAUUAGAAGUCACCCUGUCUGCCUGUCUGUCUGAGGUCAGUGAUUGGUCGGACUGUGCUGACGAGCUGCAGCGUGUUUUAAGGCAGUCCAACCGGUUUGUUCCAGCAGAUUAAAUCUGUUGUUGCUGUUUCUUGUCUGAUGAUUAUCUGAAACCAGUUUGUCUCCUGACUGCUGAUCAUAUGAUCUCAGCUGAAAGUAAACACUGCUGCUGGUUCAGGACAGAAUCUGGUCUGGGUGUUAAUCACCAGUUUCAGGUAUUUUGUUAAAAAUCAGGUUUAAUAUUUCUCUUUUCCAACCUUCUUGUUUUGGUUUACAGACUGUUUUACAGAAAGAUUUUCUCUUAGAAACUCUGAAUUUCCACAUUCUUCCAGUUGUUUAAAUGCCCCAAAUAUUCUAGAAAGCCGAAAAUAAUCCCCAACAAACUGCACUAUUUAUUGCCUAUUUAUGAUAUACUCCUGUUUAAUAAAAGCUGCUGUUUAGAGGAAAUGUCUGAACUUUCAUAAACAUGAAACUAUAUAUCUGUGAGGAGUUAUUAAAGUCUUCAGUAGGAACCACUCAGCUCGGAGUUGAUAGCCACAGACAGGAAGUCAGACAGUAUUAAGAGACGGACUCACAGGUUGUUGUACUGAGUCUGAACAUUCAGAUUUAAUGAUAAGAAAAAUGAAAUGAUAGUAUCCUCUGGGAUCACCAUAGGACUCUUAUUGUGAUAGUCUCCUUUCUGGGAUCACCAUAGGACUCUUAUUGUGAUAGUAUCCUUUCUGGGAUCACCAUAGGACUCUUAUUGUGAUAGUAUCCUUUCUGGGAUCACCAUAGGACUCUUAUUGUGAUAGUAUCCUCUCUGGGAUCACACUAGGACUCUUAUUGUGAUAGUCUCCUCUCUGGGAUCACACUAGGACUCUUAUUGUGAUAGUCUCCUCUCUGGGAUCACACUAGGACUCUUAUUGUGAAAGUCUCUUUUCAGGCAUCAUAAGGAGGCUCUUAUUGUGUAAAGACAGAGUUCAGAGUCUGACAUCAGAGGAAGUGCAGCUGGUUGUUUGAUUGACAGAUGUCUCAGCCUAUCAGCGGAUUAUGAUAUCACUGUGUCCUCCUCUUCAGGUGAUGAUGCAACACCUCCUCCUCCUCCUUCUCCUCCUCUCGUUGUGUUGGACCGCGGCGACGUCUUCCCGA